CUCUGGGUAUGGGCCACUCACUCACUGGUCCUGGCUCCCAAAUAACUCAGCAGAAACAAGUUUCCAACUAAAAAUCCCCUUGAAUGUCUCCCAGGGAAGAAAUAUAGCUUCUGUAAUUAAAGGAGGCAACGGCCAGAGGGGGAAUGCAGCCGGCAGCCAAAAAAAAGUAGGAAGUGCCUGUGUAAACGUGUCUUGGAGUGUUUCAGGAGAAAGAACGGUCCAUUAGCUUUAAAAAAAUCUUCUUGGGUUGGUAAAAAUUGCUGAAACGCUUGAACAUGUGUUUGUGCACCGACUGGCCACAGAGGAGCAGAAACCUGAGAGUCCUAUCUGAAGCUCACAGAAAGGUUCCCGCAAGGGUCAAAUAGAGAAAAAUAAGAUUCAAUUUUGACGAAUUUUCACCUAAAGGAAUACAAGCUCUUCAGUCCAAACAGCAAUUUGUGGAAUGGUGCAUAGGGAUUAUGGCUAGGUGAACAUUUCAGAAAGGACAGUAAGAGGGUGAGAUGUGAUUGUAGAUAGUGUUCCUGAUGAGCAGAUGCUUAAGUUUUUAGACUAAAAGAGAUAAAAAAUGCUUUUCAUUUGUAAUUCAACUUUAAAAACUUGGGAGAAUUAGUUUCUUUUUCUCUUGAAAUAGUAGAAACAUUUCAGGAAAUUUCUGAUGCCUGACCUAAAGACCUCUCAUUCUUCCUCAAUAUAGAGAAUAAAAUACUUCAAAACUACGCAAUUUUAAAAUUUUA